rnacentral:rRNA from 1 species
CUAGCGACAGGCUUAACACAUGCAAGUCGAGGGGCAGCACAGGUAGCAAUACCGGGUGGCGACCGGCGCACGGGUGAGUAACGCGUAUGCAACUUACCUAUCAGAGGGGGAUAACCCGGCGAAAGUCGGACUAAUACCGCAUGAAGCAGGGGCCCCGCAUGGGGAUAUUUGCUAAAGAUUCAUCGCUGAUAGAUAGGCAUGCGUUCCAUUAGGCAGUUGGCGGGGUAACGGCCCACCAAACCGACGAUGGAUAGGGGUUCUGAGAGGAAGGUCCCCCACAUUGGUACUACGACACGGACCAAACUCCUACGGGAGGCAGCAGUGAGGAAUAUUGGUCAAUGGGCGUAAGCCUGAACCAGCCAAGUCGCGUGAGGGAUGAAGGUUCUAUGGAUCGUAAACCUCUUUUAUAAGGGAAUAAAGUGCGGGACGUGUCCCGUUUUGUAUGUACCUUAUGAAUAAGGAUCGGCUAACUCCGUGCCAGCAGCCGCGGUAAUACGGAGGAUCCGAGCGUUAUCCGGAUUUAUUGGGUUUAAAGGGUGCGUAGGCGGCCUUUUAAGUCAGCGGUGAAAGUCUGUGGCUCAACCAUAGAAUUGCCGUUGAAACUGGGGGGCUUGAGUAUGUUUGAGGCAGGCGGAAUGCGUGGUGUAGCGGUGAAAUGCUUAGAUAUCACGCAGAACCCCGAUUGCGAAGGCAGCCUGCCAAGCCAUGACUGACGCUGAUGCACGAAAGCGUGGGGAUCAAACAGGAUUAGAUACCCUGGUAGUCCACGCAGUAAACGAUGAUCACUAGCUGUUUGCGAUACAGUGUAAGCGGCACAGCGAAAGCGUUAAGUGAUCCACCUGGGGAGUACGCCGGCAACGGUGAAACUCAAAGGAAUUGACGGGGGCCCGCACAAGCGGAGGAACAUGUGGUUUAAUUCGAUGAUACGCGAGGAACCUUACCCGGGUUUGAACGCAUUCGGACCGAGGUGGAAACACCUUUUCUAGCAAUAGCCGUUUGCGAGGUGCUGCAUGGUUGUCGUCAGCUCGUGCCGUGAGGUGUCGGCUUAAGUGCCAUAACGAGCGCAACCCUUGCCACUAGUUACUAACAGGUUAGGCUGAGGACUCUGGUGGGACUGCCAGCGUAAGCUGCGAGGAAGGCGGGGAUGACGUCAAAUCAGCACGGCCCUUACAUCCGGGGCGACACACGUGUUACAAUGGCGUGGACAAAGGGAAGCCACCUGGCGACAGGGAGCGAAUCCCCAAACCACGUCUCAGUUCGGAUCGGAGUCUGCAACCCGACUCCGUGAAGCUGGAUUCGCUAGUAAUCGCGCAUCAGCCAUGGC